rnacentral:rRNA from 15 species
ACUUUCAGCAGUGGAUGUCUUGGCUCCCACCACGAUGAAGAACGCAGCGAAAUGCGAUACGUAAUGCGAAUUGCAGAAUCAAGUGAGUCAUCAAAUCUUUGAACGCACCUUGCGCCGCAACCUGGUUGUGGCAUGUCUGUCGGAGUGC